rnacentral:lncRNA from 10 species
AGGGAGUCUCGCUCUGUCGCCCAGGCUGCAGCGUGCAGUGGCGCGAUCUUGGCUCACUGCAAGCUCCGCCUCCUGGGUUCACGCCAUUCUCUUGCCUCAGCCUCCCUCCAGACAACAUUUCUAAACACACCCUGGGUCAUAAGAGAACCCACUGCCUGGAGGGGAAGGACCUAGUCCUGGCAGCAUUCAUCACUUGCUAGCUGAAGAGCCCUUGGGUGCUGAAUAAACAGCAGUGAUACCCAUGUACAACGUCAAGGGCCUUGGAUGAGCCUUGAGAUUUCCUGGCUUCAGCAAUGUAACCACUGUAUAAGUAAGAACUUGGUCUAGAUGCAUCAGUGGUGUCAUAUAUUUGCAGCUGCCUUCUUGAAUCACAGGGUCUUCACUCAAGGUGUAAAAUAACCCAUCCAAUUUAAACUCCUAUAACGAGUAUUUGAUCAUAUUUACAUCAAGCUGCAGGAAGAUUUUACCCUGAGUGACAGUGUAUUCAGCUAAAAAUGUAAGCAUCACCUUCCUGUUUAAAGUUGGUGUGCCCUAGAUCUUGGCUUUGUUUCCUUUUUUUGUUGAAAGGCACAGCUUAAUGAUCUCAUACUGUCUCAAGGAUACACAUACUAUCUAUAUUCCAAAAAAUAUUAUAUUUGUAUCUCUAACUUAGACUUCUCUCUGGAGCACCAGCUUGCUAUAUCCAUUUCCUACAUUAAGGCUGUGCAUUGUUGUCUAGUAAAUAUUUUAAACUCUACAUAUUCAGAACUAAUUAUGUCCAUCUUUUUUUUUCCAAAACAUGAUUCAUCUAUUCUACAUCUCAGUAACUUGGUCAUUGAACCAAGGAACCUUUCUUUAAUCUUUUCUAAUUCAGGUUAAAUUCUUUUUGGUCUUUCCUUCGAAAUAUACCCCAAAUGAAAUUAUUUCUCAUCACCUUCGUUGCUACACCUAUGUCUGAGCCAGAACCAUCUUUGAAUUGAACUAUUGCAAUUGUCUUCUAUCUGUUUGAACCUUGUCACUCUGCAAGCUAUUCUCAACAUAUUAACUGAGUAGAACUUAUAAAUUGUAAUUCUGAUAAUUUAUCUCUUCUAUUCAAAACUCCAAUGUGGCUCUUCAUUGCACUAAUAAUUAAAGCCAAAUACCCUUUCUAAGCUGCCCCCUCCACUACCUCAUUGACAUAUCUCUCUUUUACUGAUUGCCUUAGGACUCCAAACACACUAACUUCCUUGCUGUUCUGACGUACCUUCAAACAUUUAUUCAUCUGCCCCUCUGCUUGAGUUGCAUGCUUUAGCCUAGUUAUCCACUUGGAUCUGUCAUGUCUUUGCUCAGGUAUUACUUCCUCAAUCAGGACUGCUUUGUUUAUGUUAUUCAGCACUAAAACCUCAUCCCCACAACACUUUAGCAUUUCUUGUUAAUUUUAAUAUUUUUU